rnacentral:lncRNA from 1 species
AAUAAUAUUAUCUUUCCUCUUUUUAUCGUAAUCUCUCUCUGUAUCGCUAUCGUCUCCUUCUAUCUAUUUGUUCUCUCCUCUUUUUUGUAUCGUCCCCCGUAUUGAUUUUUAUUCUCAUAUUUAUAGUAGAAGGGGCGGCAAGAGAUAUUUUGAGGAGUCGGUUAGGGAUUCGAAAUUCGAAAUCAAAUUUUGAAUCGGUUGUUUGAUGGAUAGGUAUUCAAAAUUCGAAUGGAUGUGGUUGGUUGGAAGAUAUUUUGGGAGUUGGUUGGGGAUUCGAAAUUCAAAAUCGGUUGUUGUGGUUGAUUGGAAGAUAUUUUGGGGGUUCGGUGGGGAUUCGAAAUUCAAAAUCGAAUUUUGAAUCGAUUGUUGGAUGGAUAGGUAUUCAAAAUUCGAAUGGAUAUGGUUGGUUGGGAGAUAUUUUGGGAGUUGGUUGGGGAUUCGAAAUUCGAAAUCGAUUGUUGUGGUUGGUUGGAAGAUAUUUUGGGGGUUGGUUGGCGAUUCGAAAUUCGAAAUCGAUUUUUGAAUCGGUUGUUGGAUGGAUAGGUAUUCAAAAUUCGAAUGGAUGUGGUUGGUUGGUAGAUUUUUUGGGGUUGUUUGCGGUUAGUUGUGAGAUAUUUUGGGAGUUGGUUGUGGUUUGUUGAGAGAUAUUUUGGGAGUUGGUUUAGAAUUUGAAAUCGAAUUUCGAAUGGGGUUGUUAGGAUAAUAGAUAUUUUCUAGGGUGUGGAUAUAGGCCGUCAUUGAUUGGGCCUACUUUAAUGAAAUAUGUUGGGCACAAAUAAUAACAUUCAAUGGGCUGAAAUGAGACCCAAAUUAUUGUAUCGACCAAAAAUUUUAAAGGGCUUUCAUGAGGCUCACCAACUCGCAUCCAUGAAUGGGCCUAUUAUGAAUUUAAAUUAUAAUUAUUGGCCCCAAAAUUUCUAGGUCAAUAUGAGACCUACUGGGAUUGUAUGAGUCUGAAUUUAAUCGGUUUUGGUUAUGAUUAGGAUUACUUUACCCAAAAAAAAAAUCUUUUUUGUUCACUUCAAACAAAUUGCCCCCAACCUUUUCGACGUAAGAGUUUCACGCGUGACGAAAAGGUGCUCCCACUUUUCUUUCUUUUUUCUUUUUUUGGCUCGAUCCCCAUUUUUUUUGUUCGGACCUCUUUUUUCCAAUUCGAUUCCCCCCUUUGACCGUACUUCUUUUUUUCUUUUUGCUUCUCCCCUACUUAGACCGUACUUUUUUUUUCUUCUUUUUAUUUUUGAUCAUCCUCGCACCAUAUGCAUUCAAUUUGAUUGCUCAGUUUAAUGACAUGGCGGUUAAUAUAAAUGUGCUCAGUUUAGUGACAUGGCGGUCGAUAUAAAAGUGCUUAGUUUAGUGACUUGGCGGUCGAUAUAAAUGUGCUCAGUUUAGUGACAUGGCGGUCGAUAUAAAUAUGCAUUGUUUAGUGACAUGGCGGUCGAUAUAAAAGUGCUUAGUUUAACGACGUGACGGUUGAUUGGAUAUGAAUUGCUUAGUUUAACGACAUGGCGGUCAAUUGGAUGUUAGUGAAUAUGGAUUUAUUUUGUCUUCAAGAAGCAAUCGAAAUUGCCGCGCUAAACGACCCUAAGGUGAGUUAGCAUUCCGUCUUGGGUAUCAGGGACUAUGGAUUUUUUUAUUUAUUUUGCCUUGAGAAGCAAUCGAAAUUGCCACGCAUAACCGACCCUAAGGAGAGUUAGCAUUCCGUCAUAGGUAAAAUAUAUCUUGGGUAGUCUGGCGCCCAUAUGGGUUUCCCCUAACUUUUGCCUGUGAGUCUCGAAAAGUUUUCUCACAGCAAAGAUCCCAAUUUUUCCUGUGAGAUUAUACCAUAGCCAGGGACUUUUCGCAAUUUUACCCUGGAAAUGCGAUGUGGACAAUCAAGUCCACUGGUGGCUCAUAUUUUACCUAUAUUAUUUAAAAAAAUUUAGAUAUAUAUAUAUAUAUUAUUUAUUUUGCCUCGAGAAGCAAUCGAAAUUGCUGCGCACAACCGACCCGAAAGUGAGUUAGCAUUCCGUCAUAGGCAAAAUAUAUCUUGGGUAGUCUGGUGCCCAUAUGGUUUUCACCAGGUAUCUUUCUCUAACUUUUGCCUGUGAGCCUCGAAAGAUUUUCUCACAGCAGGGAUCCCAAUUUUGCCUGUGGGAUUAUACCACAGCCGAGGACUUUUUACAAUUUUACCCUUGAAGUCCGAUGUAAAUAAUCAAGUCUGCUGGUGGCCCAUAUUAUCUAAAGAAAUUUAGACAACAUGUCCUCCACUUUUUUUCUUUUUUUUUUUGAGUAUCAAGAAAUAUACAUUUUUUUUUAUUUAUUUUGCCUCGAGAAGCAAUCGAAAUUGCCACGCAUAACCGACCCUUAGGUGAGUUAGUAUUCCGUCAUAGGCAAAAUAUAUCUUGGGUUUUAGGGAAUAUGGAUUUUUUUUUUUAUGUAUUUUGUCUCGAGAAGCAAUCGAAAUUGCUGCGCAUAACCGACCCUAAGAUGAAUUAGCAUUCCGUCAUAGACAAAAUAUAUUUUUAGUAAUAGGGAAUAUGGAUUAUUUUUUAUUUAUUUACCUCGAGAAGCAAUCGAAAUUGCUGCGCAUAACCGACCCUAAGGUGAGUUAGCAUUCCGUCAUAGACAAAAUAUAUCUUGGAUAGUCUGGCGCCCGAAUGGGUUUUCACCAGGUAUCUUUCCCUAAUUUUUUGCUUGUGAGCCUCGAAAGGUUUUCUCACAGCAGGGAUCCCAAUUUUGCCUGUGGGAUUAUAGAACAGUCGGGAACUUUUUGCAAUUUACCCUUGAAAUCUGAUAGGGACAAUCAAGUCCGCUGGUGGCUCAUAUUUUAUCCAUAUUAUCUAAAAAUUUAGACAACAUGUCCUCCACCUUUUUUUUUAGACCAAUUGAGAAGUGAUGGUUUAAUGAGUAUUGCCCCACUAUACAUGUUAGCCUCAUUUAAUUGGCUAUAUUUGCUCAGUUUAACGACAUGACGGUCGAGAUAUCAUGGUAUUUCCAUCAAUAGAAGAUACUGCUUUUGGAGUUUCUCGAGUUGUGUGCUUAGUAUUGGAUGCAGUCAUAUAAUUUUUCAGGCCAUACCCGUAUUUUUAGUGAUAGGGACAUAAUAUCGGGCCUUCAUUCCCGAUAGCUAAGCCUUUCUCACUGUUUCUUGAUAAAAAUUGGCUUGCAAUUUCCUUCUCGGCUUGAGACGCCUCAUAUAUUUUGUGUUGGUAUUCCUAUUUGAGGUUCAAGUGCUUGUAUAGAGUCAACUCGCUAUUCAUUUUUUCUUUGUUGGGGAGCAGGUGUUAUUUUCAUUACUUGCUCUACCCUAGCCUCAAUUCCAAUUAUCAUGGAGAACAUUACGUUCUGUUAUAUCUUCAGAUCUAAUAAUUUUUUAUUAAUUUUAUCAAAAUUCGAGGUCAUGAUCUCUUGUAUUUGUGCUAAUUGAUUUUGGCUAUCAUACGUUCUCUGCCGGUCUGGGAGAUCGUCCUCAUCACUUCUGACUGAGAUGACUCUACAUGUUUCAGGCCAAAAGAGCACCUUAUUCUCAGUUUCUUAAGACUUCUUUUUACUCUCUACAUCUUCCAAUGCUUUUUCUAUGAAGUCUUGUAUUGUUACUGCUGGUAUUUCAUCCAGCUUUUUGUGUUCAAGCUGAGCUGGUUUCAUGAAUUUUCGUACCUUCUCCUUUAAGAUUGUUUUUCGCUUUUCUAAAGUAGGAGGACUAUGUGCUAUUUCAGAUGAGGAAGUCUGAACUUCCGGAUGCAAUGGACUUCUCUAUGUAAUUCCAAGGACUGUGUUCAAAUAUUUCAACAUUUUGUGAGUCUUUUUCGAUAGGAAGAUAUUCCAAAAUUCAGGAUGAGGCAUACCCUCUUCUUCGUUAUUUUCAUCUUUUAUAUUCACAAAAUUUGUAUUUUCAGUUGGCGGAUCUGUAAGUACAGCUUGAGAAAGGGUGAUCAUGCCAGCUUUAUAUUGCUUUUCUACCCAGUCUUUGAAUACCCAACUAUCUUCAAUGGGGUGACUAAUCAUUUGGUGAUACAAGCAAUAGUUUGAGUCAUUUGUUUUCCCAACAUCUUCUAAUUUUCUCGGUUUCGGCAGUUGAAGGCCACUCUUUAAGGCAUCUCUAAAGAUUUUUUUCACCUUAUCUCUUUUGAAGGAUAAAUUUUAUUCUUUCUUUCUUCAAAAGUUGGCCCCUUAAAAUUAUUUCCACCCAAUUCAGAUUUCAGUGGUGCUUGCUCCGCUGUAGUGGUCAUAGCUUUCUUUCUUUUCUCCACCACAUUAGUGUGUAUCGCCUUAAGUGUUCAACUUUUUUGCCUUCUUCCCAUUUGGGCUUUUGGGUUUGGAGAUUCAUCAGAGCAUGUGGAUCUGUUCUCUCCAAUCUAGAAACAUUUAAUAUUAAAUCUUGAAAUGUAGUACAUUGGGUGGUGCAUAAAAACGGAGCCAUCCAGUUGUCAAUAUUACCCAUGAGCAAUCCAACAGCUUAGGUCUGAUCGAUAGGUUGUUCACAUCUGAUGUUCACAUUUCUCCACCAUGUGAUGUAUUCUAGCAUUGAUUUGUCUUUCAUUCUCUUGGUGGCGACUAGGUCAGCUAUUGUAAUGUUAUCACUGACCGUGGCAAAUUUAGUUCUAAAGGUUUCUUCCAUAUCGUCCCAUGUUGUGAUAGAUUCAUCAUUGAGUGAAUAGUACCACUCGAAUGCCACCCCUGGAAGACUUUGAGGGAAUUGACGUAAGAGGAGUGCACUAUUGCUUCCGGUAUUUCCACACGUGGCUCUAGAGUGUGCCAAGUGAUGAUCAGGGUUACCUAUUCAAUAAAAUGUCUUGAAUUUGGGGAUGAUAUAUCCAUCAGGAAAUGGGAUGUUAUCGUAUUCUAUAGGGUAUGGGUGCCCCCUGCUUUUUCGUUUUGGAGCCGCCUCAUCGAUUGUUUAUUUGACUUGCGAUUAGAUCAACUCUUGGAUCUCUUCCUUCGUCAUAAGAAAUUGCCUUGGUGGUUUUGUGGUUCCGCUGGUGCCGACUGCAGUGCGAUAGAAGGUGUCGUCUGUGCUGGCUGCAGUGUAUUCAUUGAUUGUGAUACAUUUUAACGCACUUCAUCUGACUGCAAUACAGUUUGGUUUCGUUGAUUUUCAAGAUUGGACUGCACAUUCAGUAGCAGCCCCAUAACUUCAUCCAUAUUUUUGUAGAAAUUAAUUAUAUCUCUAUCAUUUUCAUCAAUUUGUCUUUUUAAAGAUGCAAUCAUGGCAUCUUUUGGAUCAUUGACCAUGAAAACCGGUUUUUCUUCUUCGUCCUCAUCAUGAGGAUCGUCGGGUAAGGAUGAGUCCGCUGGUAACCUUUGAAGGUUAGAUGACGUUGGGUCAUUUUGUCUCGCUACCCCCUUUCUACGAGUGGCAGCUCUAGUAAGCAUCUGAUUUAGCGCCUCUUACUCCUGUGAUUGAUCGAGCUCUUAAUGUCCAACCAUUUGAAUGGUAUGGACCACCAUAUUCUCAUUCUUCUCACAUGCGUCCUUAGUCAUUGGGACGAAUUCUUUUCGUACCCACACUUUGUUACGAGAUGGUAACGAUUGCUUUUGAGCUCCCAACUUUUCCAUUCGUCCCUUAAUGGCCUUAUAGGCCUUGUAGAUUCUUUUAGAAAUAUUUUCCUCUUGAUGUUCUUUAAUAGUUCCUUGACAUCUCUUCGGAACUUCUAACCGAUUCAUUUUUAUUGUCGGUCGUAAAAUAGCGGACAUUGCAUUCUUUUUUACAAACUCUAAUGAGGCGAAAGAGUUGUGAGUCGAAAAUGCUAACUGGAUCAUUUGGGGCUCUUGAACACUAUUGUCCUUGCCCCCAGCAAUCUUUCCUCUGUGGAGUUGGCGGCGGUUAUUCCUCUUAAAGGACACUCUUGUCGGAGGAAUAGUGGUUGUAAUAUCAUUAGAAAGCGCCAGCCUAUCGAAUACUGAUGCUUUCUGCACCCUGCCCUUUGGGAAUAUCAGUCUUCCUUCAGACUCCAUCCUUUUGGAUGCAGGUUGGUAAAUAAGUCAUCGCCUAUGGGUUGGCGAGGAGGGUUGGGGAUGACCACAUUAGGUCGUUUUCCUCGAGAUGGUAGCCGAGAAAUGACAACAUUGCAUACAUCUUGUGAAGGGGCGGCGGGAAUGGUCAUGCCCCCAGUAGCAGCAGGAAUUUGAGCCAUGACAGCAACUCGAACAUGUUCCGGAAUGGUGCCAAACUGGAUUGAGGCACUUGUAGUUUCGAAUGUCAGGACAGACGUAGGCAAGCAGACUCGCAAACCCACCUCCAAUAUCAUUGAGUUUGCUGAUGCAGCGACAACGUUCUUUGAUGUUGGUGUCAUUUCCCUAUUGGAAAAAAGGUAGAAGUUAGGAACCUUUUUUUUUUUUUUUAGGUCUCGAAAAUGGAAGAAGAAGCCAUGUCCCACCGGGCGUACCAUUUUGUCUGCCACCACGAAUGACGCACCUCGCACGGUCAAUGGAUUUAAGCCGUGGGGUUGUAUUCAUGAUUCAGAUUAGUAUUCAUAUGUAUAUGGGUAUGAGGUAUUGCGGGUUCAUGGCUUCCAAAAAAUGCAAGUAUCCACUGUUAAUUACCCCCGUGGCAUUGAGGCACCUUCGAUGAAGAGACCUUUAUAGAUGGGAUUGAAUGAAUCGUAUAUUGGUUUAUUGAAUCCUAAGUAUAUGUAUUAGGAUUCAGUUGGAUUUGAGAUUGACUAGGUCCUAAGUAUAUGUGUUAAGACCUAGUCGAUAUUAAACUCUAAAUAUAUACAUUAGAGUCCAAUUGGCUCUAAUUAUAUGUCUUAGAGUCCAAUUAUAUUCAUCUUGGUUGUAUAUUCCAAGGUGGAGAUGUAACCAAACCCCAAGUAUAUGUAUUGAGGUAGGUCGGAUUUGAUAUUACCCGAAAGUAGAGAGUGGCUAAUUCCUGAGUGUAUGCAUCAGGAUUAACCAAGUUUAAUAUAUUUUUUACUCUAGUUAUAUGUGCUAGAGUAAGGAUCUGACUAAGCCCUAAGGUAUUAUGUUAGGGUUCAUCGGAUUUGAUUUGCAUAAGCUCUAAACAUAGGUAUUAGAGCUCGAUCAGGUAUGGAUUUCACUCUAGAUAGAUGUGCUAGAGCAAAAGGCUGACUAGACCCCAAGUGUAUGUAUUAGGACUAGUCGAGCUUGGUUUGACUUCUACUCUAGUUAUAUGUGCUAGAGCAAAAGGUUGAUUAGACCCUAAGGAUAUGUGUUAGAGUUAGUCGGACGAACUCUAAGUAUAUACAUUAGAGUUCGAAUAAAUUUAAUAUCAUUUGACUAAAUUCUAAAUAUAUAAUUUAGAACUCUGUCGAUUUGGAGAUAUUUUGCCUUAGUUAUAUGUGCUAAGGCAAUUGACUUAGCCCUAAGUAUAUGUAUUACGGGUAGUCGAUAUUUAAUUUUUACUCUAGGUAUAUGUGCUAAAAUAGAAAAGGUUCAUGAUGAACUUUGGAUAUGAUUUAGUUCAUAUAUGGUUCAUGAGAUUUGGGCAUUGGUUCAUGAGGUUUUGUUUAUGGUUCAUGAGGUUUGGUUUAUGAUGUAUGAGGUUUGGUUUGUGGCUCAUGAGGUUUGGCUUAUGGUUCAUGAGGUUUGGUUUAUGGCUCAUGAGGUUUGAUUUAUGGUGUAUGAGGUUUGGUUUAUGGCUCAUGAGGUUUGGUGUAUGGCUCAUGAGGUUUGAUAUGUGGGAUUUGGUUCAUGAACUUGGAUAUGGUUCAUGGAUUUGGUAUAUGAACUUGGUUUAUGGACUUAGUUCAUGGUUCAUGAACUUGGAUAUGGUUCAUGGAUUUGGUAUAUGAACUUGGUUUAUGGACUUGGUUCAUGGUUCAUGAACUUGAUUCAUUUGGUUCAUGAACUUGGUUUAUGGACUUGGUUCAUGGUUCAUGCACUUGAUUCAUUUGGUUCAUGAACUUGGUUUAUGGAUUUGGUUCAUGAUUCCUGAACUUGGUUUACGGUUCAUGGGGUUUGGUUUAUGGUUCAUAAACUUGGUGUAUAGUACUUGGUUUUGGUUUAUGGUUCAUGAACUUGGUGUAUGGUUUAUGGGGUUUGGUUUAUGGUUCAUGAACUUGGUGUAUGGUUUAUGGGGUUUUGAUUCGUGGUUCAUGAACUUGGUUCAUGAGGUUGGGUAUGUGGGAUUUGGUUCAUUAACUUGGGUAUGCUUCAUAGGGUUUGGUUGGGUUUGGAUUUUAUUUGUGGACUAGAUUUGAUUUUGGAUUCGGAUUUGGGUUUUAUUUGUGGACUUGGUUUGGGUUUUGGGUUUGGAUUUGGAUUUGUGGACUUGAUUUGAGUUGGGUUUGGAUUUUAUUUGUGGACUGGGUUUGGUUUUGGGUUCGGAUUUGGGUUUUAUUAGUGGACUUGGUUUGGGUUGGGUUUAGAUUUUAUUUGUGGACUUGGUUUGGGUUUUGGGUUCGGAUUUGGGUUUUAUUUGUGGACUUGGUUGGGUUGGGUUUGGAUUUUAUUUGUGGACUGGAUUGGAUUAUGGUUUUGGAUUUGGGUUUUAUUUGUGGACUUGGUUUUCCUUUCAAUUCUAUUUCGGGUCUGAGGAAAUCAUCUUUUGAUUUUGCAAUUUGAUUUGGGGUCCGAAGAAAUCCCCUUUUGAUUUUACAAUUUGAUUUGGGGUCCGAAGAAAUCCCCUUUUGAUUUUGCAAUUUGAUUUGGGAUCCGAAGAAAUUCCCUUUUGAUUUUGCAAUUUGAUUUGGUGUCCGAAGAAAUCCCCUUUUAAUUUUGCAAUUUGAUUUGGUGUCCGAAGAAAUCCCCUUUUGAUUUUGCAAUUUGAUUUGGGGUCCGAAGAAAUCCUCUUUUGACCUAAAUUUGGGGUCUGAAAAAAUUUCCGUUUUGAUCUCGAUUUGGGGUUCGAAGAAAUUUCCGUUUUAAUCUUGAUUUGGGGUCCGAAGAAAUCCCCGUUUGAUUUCGAUUUGGGGUCCGAAGAAAUUCCCGUUUUGACCUCAAUUUGGGGUCCGAAAAAAUUCCGUUUUGAUCUCAAUUUGGGGUCUGAAGAAAUCCCCGUUUGAUCUCGAUUUGGGGUCCGAAGAAAUCCCCGCUUGAUCUCGAUUUGGCUUGAAUCUAAACUGGUUUGAAAGUUUUAUGGAUUGAUUCAAUGUUCUCGAAAGGGAUUGAAGGGUCCAAAAAAAAUGGGGAAUUUUUGAUUCCCCUCCCCUUUUCUUUCGAAAACACCGAACCGAUAAGGUUGGAGAUGACGGCGGCGAAGAUGAUUACGGUGGCAUAGAUCUUAACGGCUGGCGGAUUUGAUUUGAUAUUUUCGAAAGAUGUUGAAGGGUCCAAAGAAACGGGAAAUCAAAUAUUUCCCUCCCCUCUUCUUUUGAAAAUAUCAAACUGGCGAUGCUGGAGAUGACGUCGGUGAAUAUGAUGACGGUGGCGCGGAUUUAUUCGGCUGGCAAAUUUGGUUCGAUAUUUUCAAAAGAGAUUGAAGGGUCCGAAGAAACGGGAAAUCUUUGAUUCCCCUUCCCUCUUCUUUCGAGAAUACCAAACCGUCAAUGCUGGAGGUGGUCGCGGCAAUGUAGAUCACCCAUUCCAUCAAUUAACGGCUUCGAAUGGGGUAUUAAGAGGUCCGAAGAAACUGGAAGCCAUUGGCUCCCCUCCACUCUCCCAACGAUGUUGUCCAAAUGGUAUGGAUGACUACGGUAGCAGGACCUAAAACAAAGAAAAAGAAAAGGGGGGGAAGAAAAAAGAUCUUUUUUUUUUGACAUAUUUUAUUAUAUAUAUAUUUUUUCUUCUUUCUUUUUUUUUUACCUGUUGAUCAGAUGACGAAUUGGAUGAAGCGGCUCGGCGAUCUCUCCUCCUUUUUGCGGCUCGACGAUCUCUCAUCCUUUGAAUUUUUUGUACGUAGGAACGCGUGUAGCAAUGGUGCAAAUAAUAAUAUCUUUCCUCUUUUUAUCGUAAUCUCUCUCUGUAUCGCUAUCGUCUCCCUCUAUCUAUUUGUUCUCUCCUCUUUUUUGUAUCGUCCUCCGUAUUGAUUUUUAUUCUCAUAUUUAUAGUAGAAGGGGCAGCGAGAGAUAUUUUGAGGAGUCGGUUAGGGAUUCGAAAUUCGAAAUCAAAUUUUGAAUCGGUUGUUGGAUGGAUAGGUAUUCAAAAUUCGAAUGGAUGUGGUUGGUUGGAAGAUAUUUUGGGAGUUGGUUGGGGAUUCGAAAUUCGAAAUCGGUUGUUGUGGUUGGUUGGAAGAUAUUUUUGGGGUUGGUUGGGAAUUCGAAAUUCGAAAUCGAUUUUUGAAUCGGUUGUUGGAUGGAUAGGUAUUCAAAAUUUGAAUGAAUGUGGUUGGUUGGGAGAUUUUUUUGGGCUUGGUUUCAGUUGGUUGUGAGAUAUUUUGGGAGUUGGUUGUGGUUUGUUGAGAGAUAUUUUGGAAAUUGGUUGAGAAUUUGAAAUCGAAUAUGGAUAUGGGUCGUCAUUGAUUUGGCCAAUUUAAUGAAAUUUGUUGGGCACAAAUAAUAACAUUCAGUGGGCUGAAAU